UAUCGCGGUGCCGAGAUGAAG
rnacentral:piRNA from 1 species